AGAUUCCUUCCCGUCCCGCUGGGGCCGGAGGCUUCAGCUCUGGCUUGACCAGGCUCUGGCGGCCUCAGUCUCUCCAUCCCUAGGGCAGGGCGUUGAGCCAGCUCCCGGGUCAGCCCCCAUCUGCUGCUGCCUCCCUCUUUUUCCCCCCGCUGCCUGCACAAUCCCAGAGGAGGGGUGAGGACGUCAAGAGGCUGAGACCGGCAGGGGAGACCUCCACGGAGGGGUGGGGCUGGCCAAAGGUGCCCCUGGGGAAGCAAACAACCCUGCCUACCUCCCCCUCCAGGCAGCCCCAGCCGAUCGAUCCUGUAGUUGCCCAAUGGGUAUUGACCGAGGGCCUGAGGGUCAGGGUCGCUGGUCCAGAAGAGGCCGGGCAGAGGGAGGCCUGCCCCAUCCCCCACACGCUCCCUCACCUAACCCAAAAGGAGGUAGGUGACCCCUGUCCUCGUCUCCCCUCCCGGACCCCAGCCCCUUAGGGCACAACAUGGUUGAUGCUUGGGGCAGUCAUCCCCCAGAGGCCGUGGGGGCACAUUGGAGCUAGCUAGCUCAGAGGAGGCAGCCAGGGAGGGCUUCCUGGAGGAAGGAGGCCACCCUCUCAAUAUAGAAGCCUAAAAUUGUGAAAGAGUGUGCCUGGCCCAGGAAACAACCUGGCCAAAGGCAUGGCACUUCUAGAGAAGUGCUAGUGACAUGAUAGGGUUGGAGAAAGGCACAGGUGAGGGAAGGAGGGGAGGUUUUAGGGAGUGGAGGGCUGGGGUGGAAGGAUGAGGUCAUUUGUCCCAGUGGACUUUCUGUGGCUCUGGAGCGCCCUCUUUUGCCCCAGGCAGGAAGGCAGAGGGGAGCCUGGUAAAGGAACCACCACAAUUUGAUGUGGCUAUGCAGACUUGGCGAGGGGAAGGGCCUGGGGACUGGGACUGGGACUACAGCCUCUAGUUCCAUGAAGCCGCCCUACUGCCCUGGGAAGACCCCAGGUUUUCAGCCUUGUGAGACCCGCUCUGGGUCGGUGCCUCCAGGCGCUGGGGCGGCUCGCACAGGCUGUUCUGUGGUGGGGAAGAGAGUCUUGGCUCUUCCAAAUUUCCAGCUGUGUAACCUUGGGUGAGUUAUGAACUCCCCUGGCCUCAGUUUCCCCCUCUGUAAGAUGGAGCUAAAAAUAAUUGCCCCAGAGGGCUACUGGUGGAUGAAAUUAAUUAAUUUAUAUUUUAGAAAGCACCUGGCACUAGUGUGCACCCAAUUCCAGUUAGGAAACAUUAUUAUUAAUUGAGAAGAAGAGAAAGUUGGCUUUACCCCAAGGACAUGUUGACAGGUGGGCGGAAGGUGUUUCACCAGAAGAGUCUUCAAAGAAGGACCUGAUACGCAGCCUCUAGGAUUCCCAGACUUGCCUGAUCCAAGAAACUCCCUGGGGCUGUGGUUCAAAACAUCAGCUUCUGGCCGGGCGCGGUGGCUCAUGCCUGUAAUCCCAGCACUUUGAGAGGCCGACGGUUGGGGGGUGGAUCUCCUGAGGUCAGGAGCUUGAGACUAGCCUGGCCAACAUGGUGAAACCCUGUCUCUAUUAAAAAAAAAAUCCAGAUGUGGUGGUGCGCCUGUAGUCCCAGCUACUCGGGAGGCAGAGGCAGGAGAAUCGCUUGAACUCGGGAGGUGGAGGUUGCAGGGAGCCCAGAUUGCACCAGUGCACUCCAGCCUGGGCGACAGAGCGAGUCUCUGUCUCAAAAACAAAAACAAAUAAACCCAAAAUAUCAGCUCCCCUUCUCCAAGUCUCUGACUGGGCAGGUCUGGGUGGGACAGGUCUUGGGAUUUAUAAGGAGGCCCCAGGCCUGAGCCUUCUACCAGGCAGGUAUGGGGAGCAUUCCUCUCUGAUGACAAGGACUCACCCAAAUGGUUUCUCCUUGGGAAGUGAGUCUUUCUUUCCUUCUUUUCUUUCCUUCUUCUUUCCUUCUUUCCUCCUUUCCUCCUUCCUCCCUUCCUCCCUUCCUUCCUUCCUUCUUUCUGUCUCUUUCCUUCCUUCCUUUCUUUCCUUCUUUCGAGACAAAGUUUCACUCUUGUGGGCUCAGGCUGGAGCGCAGUCGUGCUAUCUCGGCUCAUCGCAACCUCUGCCUCCCGGGUUCAAGUGAUUCUCCUGCCUCAGCCUCCCGAGUAGCUGGGAUUACAGGUAUGCACCACAACGCCCAGCCAGUAUUUUUUUUUUUUUUUUUGAGAUGGAGUCUCGCUCUCUCUCCCCGUCUGGAGUGCAGUGGUGCAAUCUCGGCUCACUGCAAGCUCCGCCUCCCGGGUUCAUGGCAUUCUCCUGCCUCAGCCUCCCGAGUAGCUGGGACUACAGGCAUCUGCCACCACGCCUGGCUAAUUUUUUGUGUUUUUUUUAUUUUUUAUUUUAUUUUAUUUUAUUUUUUUCAGAUGGAGUUUCGCUCUUGUUGCCCAGGCUGGAGUGCAGUGGUGUGAUCUCGGCUCACUGCAACCUCCGCCUCCCAGGUUCAAGCAAUUCUCCUGCCUCAGCCUCCCUAGUAGCUGGGAUUACAGGCAUGUGCCACCACGCCCACCUAAUUUUGUAUUUUUAGUAGAGACGGGGUUUCUCCACGUUGGUCAGGCUGGUCUCGAACUCCCAACCUCAGGUGAUCCACCCACCUCGGCCUCCCAAAGUGCUGGGAUUACAGGCGUGAGCCACCGCGCCUGGCCAAUUUCUUUGUAUUUUCGGUUGAGACGGGGUUUCUCCAUGUUGGUCAGGCUGGUCUGGAACUCCCAACCUUAGGUGAUCUGUCCACCUUGGCCUCCCAAAGUGCUGGGAUUACAGGCGUGAGCCACCGUGCCCGGCCUGAAUCUUUCAAAAUACUUUUAAAAACCCUACUGUUUAUUGAGCAUGUACUGCCCGCCUGGCACUGCUCUGAGCCUCAUCCGUGUUGAUUCAUGUCAUCCUCACCACAAUCCUAUGUCGCAGUAGGUACUAAGAUUUGUUCCCAUUUCACUGAUGGGGAAACUGAGACCUACAGAAGCUAAGAAACUUGCCCAACAUCACAAAAACCCUGUGACUUGUGAGGCGUCCACCUGGACAUGGGCUCUUACCCACUGGUUUGCAGUUUCCCAACCUGCCUCAGGGUCCUUGAACACUUGAUGAAAUUCCUCCAGGAGUCUUGGGUAGGAGCUGGGAUCCUUACUUUUCACUCUUUUGCCCUCUAAGUUUGUGACGUUUGAAUCAAGAAAUGGCCGAAUGCUUGAGGCCCAGAGUUUGAGACCAGCCUAAUGAACACAGUGAGACUCCAUCUCUAGGGUGUGGUGGCACAUGCCUGUAAUCCCAGCUCCUUGGGAGGCUGAGGCAGGAGAAUUGCUUGAAGCUGGGAAGCGGAUGUUGCAGUGAGCUGAGAUCAUGCCAUUGCACUCCAGCCUGGGUGACAGAGCGAGACUCCAUCUCAAAAAGAAAAAG
rnacentral:lncRNA from 1 species